CCUACGUGAGGCAGCAGUGAGGAAUAUUGGUCAAUGGGCGCGAGCCUGAACCAGCCAAGUAGCGUGAAGGAUGACUGCCCUACGGGUUGUAAACUUCUUUUAUAAAGGAAUAAAGUGGGGCACGUGUGCCUUUUUGUAUGUACUUUAUGAAUAAGGAUCGGCUAACUCCGUGCCAGCAGCCGCGGUAAUACGGAGGAUCCGAGCGUUAUCCGGAUUUAUUGGGUUUAAAGGGAGCGUAGAUGGGUUGUUAAGUUAGUUGUGAAAGUUUGCGGCUCAACCGUAAAAUUGCAAUUGAUACUGGCAGUCUUGAGUACAGUUGAGGUAGGCGGAAUUCGUGGUGUAGCGGUGAAAUGCUUAGAUAUCACGAAGAACUCCGAUUGCGAAGGCAGCUUACUAAACUGCCACUGACAUUGAUGCUCGAAAGUGUGGGUAUCAAACAGGAUUAGAUACCCCGGUAGUC
rnacentral:rRNA from 1 species